UACGAGGGGGGCAAAUGUUGUUCGGAAUCACUGGGCGUAAAGGGCGCGUAGGCGGGCUCUUAAGUAAGGUGUUUAAUCCCGGGGCCCAACCCCGGACCGGCAUUUUAAACUGGGAAUCUUGAAUAGUCGAGAGGUCGGUGGAAUUGGAGGUGUAGCGGUGGAAUGCGUAGAGAUCUCCAAGAACACCAGUUGCGAAGGCGGCCGACUGGACACAUAUUGACGCUGAGGCUCGAAAGCAUGGGGAGCAAACAGG
rnacentral:rRNA from 1 species